rnacentral:rRNA from 1 species
UACGUAGGGCGCAAGCGUUGUCCGGAAUUAUUGGGCGUAAAGCGCGUGUAGGCGGUCCGGUAAGUCCGCUGUGAAAGUCGGGGGGCUCAACCCUCGAAUGCCGGUGGAUACUGUCGGGCUAGAGUGCGGAAGAGGCGAGUGGAAUUCCUGGUGUAGCGGUGAAAUGCGCAGAUAUCAGGAGGAACACCAAUUGCGAAGGCAGCUCGCUGGGACGUUACUGACGCUGGAGACGCGAAAGCGUGGGGAGCAAACAGG